rnacentral:misc_RNA from 1 species
GAUAAGAACGUAGCGAAAUGCGAUAAGUAAUGUGAAUUGCAGAAUUCCGUGAAUCAUCGAAUCUUUGAACGCACAUUGCGCCCUCUGGUAUUCCGGGGGGCAUGCCUGUCCGAGCGUCAUUUGCAACCCUCAAGCCCGGCUUGUGUGAUGGGUGCCGUCCCCUACGGGACGCGCCCCGAAGGCAAUGGCGGCGUCGCGGUUAUCCGAUCAGCCAAAGUGUAUGGGGCUUUGUCACUCACUUUACGGCCCGGACCGGCGCCAGUCCGAAUCAAUCUUUUUUCUAAAGUUGACCUCGGAUCAGGUAGGGAUACCCGCUGAACUUAAGCAUAUCAAUAAGCGGAGGA